ACUCCUACGGGAGGCAGCAGUGGGGAAUAUUGGACAAUGGACCAAAAGUCUGAUCCAGCAAUUCUGUGUGUUUGAUGAAGGCCUUCGGGUUGUAAAGAACUUUCAGUGGGGAAGAAGCAAGUGACGGUACCCACAGAAGAAGCGACGGCUAAAUACGUGCCAGCAGCCGCGGUAAUACGUAUGUCGCAAGCGUUAUCCGGAAUUAUUGGGCAUAAAGGGCGUCUAGGCGGUCUAAUAAGUCUGAUGUGAAAAUGCGGGGCUCAACUCCGUAUUGCGUUGGAAACUGUUAGACUAGAGUUUUGGAGAGGUAGGCGGAACUACAAGUGUAGAGGUGAAAUUCGUAGAGAUUUGUAGGAAUGCCGAUGACGAAGGUAGCUUACUGGACAAAUACUGAACGCUGAAAGCGCGAAAGCUAGGGGAGCAAACAGGAUUAGAUACCCUGGUAGCGUCGUC
rnacentral:rRNA from 1 species